rnacentral:tRNA from 1 species
CCGUAGCUCAGUGGUAGAGCGUUCCGCUCAUAACGGAGGGGUCGCGGGUUCGAU